rnacentral:lncRNA from 1 species
AUAGUGUCUCCCCUCCCUUUCUCCCAUAGUGUCCCCCCUCCCCUUCUCCCAUAGUGUCUCCCCUCCCUUUCUCCCAUAGUGUCUCCCCUCCCUUUCUCCCAUAGUGUCUCCCCUCCCUUUCUCCCAUAGUGUCCCCCUCCCCUUGUCCCAUAGUGUCUCUUCCCCUCCCCUUGUCCCAUAGUGUCUCUUCCCCUCCCCUUGUCCCAUAGUGUCUCUUCCCCUCCCCUUGUCCCAUAGUGUCCCCCCUCCCCUUGUCCAUAGUGUCUCCCUCCCUUUCUCCCAUGAGUGUCCCCUCCCUUGUCCCAUGGUGUCUCCUCCCCUCGUCCCAUAGUGUCUCCUCCCCUCCCCUUGUCCCAUAGUGUCCCCCUCCCCUUGUCCCAUAGUGUUUCCUCCCCUCCCCUUGUCCCAUAGUGUAUCCCCCUCCCCUUGUCCCAUAAUUACUUACCUGUCUUGGAGCGUGGGCCGGCUUCACAGCGCGCUCCGCGGUCCAGGAACUUCUAUUUCAGGUUCGGGUUUCCGGCGGGACUGAAAGGNNNNNNNNNNNNNNNNNNNNNNNNNNNNNNNNNNNNNNNNNNNNNNNNNNNNNNNNNNNNNNNNNNNNNNNNNNNNNNNNNNNNNNNNNNNNNNNNNNNNGAGCACAUUCCAUCUUUCAGUUUAUACACAUUGAAAUUUGCCAGACUGGUUAUGUUCCCUUCGAGACCAAAUGGUAGCCCAUGAAUGAAAAUUACCCAGUAAUGAUUACAUACCAUUUGCAAAAGUAGACAACCCAAGGUAUUGCAGUCUUUUUUCGUAGCCACUUAGUCACAAACACUGGCCAAAGUUAGCAUUCAUAUUUGUUGUGUGUGAAAAAUGCAAUUUUUUUUAUAAUUUUAUAAAAGUACAUAUAUAUCUAUAUAUAUAUAUAUAUAUAUAUAUAUAUAUAUAUAUAUAUAUAUAUAUAUAUAUAUAUAUAUAUAUAUAUAUUUAUUUAUAUUGUGUGUGUAAUAUAUAUAUAUUUAUUUAUAUUGUGUGUGUAAUAUAUAUAUAUAUAUUUAUAUUGUGUGUGUAAUAUAUAUAUAUAUAUAUUUAUAUUGUGUGUGUAAUAUAUAUAUACCGUAUUUUUCGCUCCAUAAGACGCACCUCACCAUAAGACGCACCUAGUUUUUAGAGGAGGAAACCCAGAAAAAAAAAUAUUCUGAACAAACUGUUCCAUAGUGUUUCUUACCAUGGGACAGUUUGUUCAGAAUAUUUUUUUUUCUCCCCUGUCCCAUAAUGAUCUUUAACCCCCCUUUCCUCUGUCCCAUAGUGAUUGUUAACCCCUCCCACCCUGUCCCAUAGUGAUUGUUAACCCCUCCUACCCUGUCCCAUAGUGUUCUUUAACCCCUCCUCCCCUUGUCCAUUAGUGUUCUGAUCCCAUAGUGUCCCCCCCUCCCAUUGUCCCAUAGUGCACUUUCCCUCCCAUAGUGUCCCCCCCUGCCCUUGUCCCAUAGUGUCUCCCCCUCCCCUUGUCCCAUAGUGUCCCUCCUCCCUUUCCCUCCCAUAGUGUCCCCCCCUGCCCUUGUCCCAUAGUGUCUCCCCCUCCCCUUGUCCCAUAGUGUCUCCCCCUCCCUUUCUCCCAUAGUGUCUCCCCCUCCCCUUGUCCCAUAGUGUCUCCUCCUCCCUUUCUCCCAUAGUGUGUGUGUGUGUCCCUCUCCCCUUGUCCCAUAUAGUGUGUCUCUUUUCCCUCCCCUUGUCCCAUAGUGUCUCUUCUCCUCCCUUGUCCCAUAGUGUCCCUCCCCUUGUCCCAUAGUGUCCCUCCUCCCUUGUCCCAUAGUGUCCCUCCCUUGUCCCAUAGUACCCUCCCUUUCUCUCCCAUAGUGUCCUCCCCUUGUCCCAUAGUGUCUCCUCCCCUCCCCUUGUCCCAUAGUGUCUCCUCCCCUCCCCUCCCCUUGUCCCAUAGUGUCUCCUCCCCUCCCCUUGUCCCAUAGUGUAUCCCCCUCCCCUUGUCCCAUAAUUACUUACCUGUCUUGGAGCGUGGGCCGGCUUCACAGCGCGCUCCGCGGUCCAGGAACUUCUAUUUCAGGUUCCGGUUUCCGGCUGGACUGAAAGGAACUGUGCACCCUUGUCCCAUAGUGUCCCCCUCCCCUUUGUCCCAUAGUGUCCCCCUCCCUUGUCCCAUAGUGUCCCCUCCCCUUUCUCCUAUAGUGUCUCCCUCCCUUUCUCCUAUGUGUCUCCCUCCCUUUCUCCUGUAAGCAGUGUCCCCUCCCCUUGUCCCAUAGUGUCCCUCCCUGUCCCAUAGUGCUCCUUUUCCUCCCUUGUCCCAUAGUGUCUCUUCCUCCCUUGUCCCAUAGUGUCCUCCUUGUCCCAUAGUGUCUCCUCCUUUCUCCCAUAGUGUCCCUCCCCGUCCCCAGUGUCCCCCUCCCUUGUCCUAUGUACAUAGUGUCUCCCCUCCCUUUCUCCCAUAGUGUCCCUCCCUUGUCCCAUAGUGUCUCCCCUCCCUUUCUCCCAUAGUGUCCCCCUCCCCUUGUACCAUAGUGUCUCCUCCCCUCCCCUUGUCCCAUAGUGUAUCCCCCUCCCAUUGUCCCAAAAUUACUUACCUGUCUUGGAGCGUGGGCCGGCUUCACAGCGCGCUCCGCGGUCCAGGAACUUCUAUUUCAGGUUCCGGUUUCCGGCGGGACUGAAUGGAAGUGUGCACACUGAGUGCACACUUCCUUUCAGUCCCGCCGGAAACCGGAACCUGAAAUAGAAGUUCCUGGCCGCGGAGCACGCUGUGCUGGCGGCCCACGCUACAAGACAGGUAAGUAAUUCUUCACAUUCGCUCCAUAAGACGCACAGACAUUUCCCCUCACUUUUGAGGGGAAAAAAAGUACGUCUUAUGGAGCGAAAAAUACGGUAUAUGGAACAAAUUGAGAGCACUCAUUGGAUUUAGUAAACAAAAAAAUAUAUUAAAUCAAACGCAUAUAAAUCAACGUUUCGACCGUCUAGCGGUCUUUAUCAAGAUCUUGAUAAAGACCGCUAGACGGUCGAAACGUUGAUUUAUAUGCAUUUGAUUUAAUAUAUUUUUUGUUUACUAAAUCCAAUGAGUGCUCUCAAUUUGUUCCAUUUGUAUAUUUUGCACGGAGAGGCACCUGGUCAUUGCUGAAUUAAUGCUUUUGCUAUGGGAUGAGUGCCAGAAACUAUUGUGAUUUUUAUAUAUAUAUAUGAUCUAAGUAAUUUUGAUUUAAUUUAAAAACUGUUUUAUAACUUUUUUGUAACUUUAAAAUCUUUAAUUGAUAGUUGAUAGUUCAGACAGGCCCCCUACAGGUACUGCAUAAGGACCCGGCGAUCACAUUGGGGGCGGAUCGUGCAGAGGGGGUCUGCCUGAGCUCCCAGACAGACCCCAGGAUCGCAACUGCCGGCGUGGGAUCGGUGGAGACCGGGUUAGUAUGAAGGAUGGUGGGGACGUCCACAGCCGGCAUUUAGGACCUCCCCAAAAAUGAUCGCAUAGAACACCCGCCAUCCUUAAGAGGUUAACUAUCCACUUACUUUAGAAGGAAGGGGUUUUCACCCACACUUUUUUCCCCACCACAACUCUAUUGGUAUAUUAUAUAUAUAUAUAUAUAUAUAUAUAUAGGAAAUUUUGCACUCCUACCUCCAGCCAAUAAUACCAGGUGCUCAGCCACACGAUUGCCAGCUUUCCUGGAUUUUCAAUAUCAAAAUACUUUAUUGUCAAGUCAAGUUGACGUUUCAGCCCCUAAUCCGGGACUUUCAUCAGGACAUACCAUCUCUAAAUAUUUCUAAAUAUCUCAGAACCACCAAUGAUAUGGCUAUGUAUAAAUUAAACAGGAGUGAUAAAUCCAGUUAACAUAUAGGGGCUCCCCAAUCCCAGGUGUCACCAGGUUACAUUAAUGACUGCAGAAAACAUACAUCCAGUAUUGGACAANNNNNNNNNNNNNNNNNNNNNNNNNNNNNNNNNNNNNNNNNNNNNNNNNNNNNNNNNNNNNNNNNNNNNNNNNNNNNNNNNNNNNNNNNNNNNNNNNNNNUUGAGCUGCUUUGUAUUUAGGCACAGAAUGGUAUCACUUAUUACCUCUGAAAAGGGGUUUUAUUUCUGUUUUUUGUUAAGUUUGCACAAAAAUAACUGACGUUUCGACCCACUCAUGUCCUUGCCAAGAGUCGAAAUGUUGAUCAGGUAUUUUUGUGACUUUAUGUUCCAAUAAACACCAGUGAAUUUAUGGAAAGACCUGUGAGUGCACCCUUUUUUAAAUUUGAUGUAUAUUUCAACCUGGGAUUGAACCAAGGCACUGUAUUUGUAAAUUAUAGACUAAAGGGUGAGUGCCAAGCUACUUGUGUUUUUAUAUACAAUUUAUUUCCUCACCCCUCAUGGUUGGUAUGUUUAUUCCUCAUUCUCGGGUCCUCUACCAGAAGUCUGGGAGGUUGAGGGUUCUGCCCAGUAUCUUAGCUGUUCCUAGAACUGCACUAUUCUGGACAGCAAUCUCAGAUGUCCUACCUGGAAUCUGUUGAAGCCACUCCCCCAACUUGGGAGUCACAGCCCUGAGUGCUCCUAUCACAACUGGGACUAUUACUGCCUUCACUUUCCACAUCCUUUCUAGUACUUCUUUCAGUCCUUGUUAUUUGUCCACCUUCUCAUGUUCCUUCUUCCUGAUGUUAUAGUCACCGGGUAUUGCCACAUCAACCACAACUGCAGUCUUUCGUUCCUUGACUGUCAUUGUGUUUCAGUACACAAUGAUGUCUGGUUGGUUGGCCAGCACUUGCUGGUCUGUCUGGAUCUUGAAGUCCCACAGGAUAUUAGCCCUGUCAUUCUCAACUACCCUUUGUGGUAUGUUCCAUCUGGACUUCGGCAGGUCCAAUCCAUAUUCUGUGCAGAUAUUUCGGUACAUAAUCCCAGCAACUUGGUUGUGUCUCUCCGUGUAUGCUGUUCCUGCCAACAUCUUGCAUCCAGCUACUAGGUGCUGGACUGUCUCAGAGGCCUAUUUGCACCGUCUGCACCUUGGGUCUUGCCUGGUGUGGUAGACUUCAGUUUCUAUUGAUCUGGUGUUGAGUGCUUGCUCCUGUGCUGCAAGGAUUAGUGCCUCAGUGCUGUCUUUCAGUCCUGCAUUUUCCAACCACUGGUAGGAUUUUGUCAUGUGAGCCACAUCCACUAUCUGCCAGUGGUACACUCCAUGGAGAGGUUUUUCUUGCCAAGGAACCUCCUCUUUUUCUGCAUCCACGAUCUGUGGAAGUCUCAGGCAUUCCCUUAGCAGUUCAUCUUUGGGAGCCAUCUUUGUGAUGUACUUGUGGAUGCGGUGUUUCAUCCAGGACUGUGGCCUUGACACUCAUCAGGCCCGACUUCCUUCCUUCCAGCUGGUGUACAGUCUCUGGGUGCUGCAUUUCGGGUGGAAUCCUCCAUUCAUAGUGAGUAGUUUCCUGGUCUUCACAACCAUGGUGACCAGUUCUUCUCUUGGCCAAGUUAUUAUUCAAGCUGGGUACCUGAUGACUGGUAGGGCAUAUGUGUUGUUGGCUUGGAUCUUGUUCUUGCCGUUGAGCUGGGACUUCAGGACCUGUCUGACUCUUUGGAGGUACUUGGAUGUUGCUAUCGUCCUUGCCUCUUCCUCAUGGUUGCCAUGUGUUUGUGGUACCCCUGGGUACUUGUAGCUGUUCUAUAAAUCUUCUAUUUGGCCUUGUGGAACUUCAACUCUGUCCUGAUCAUCCUCCCUCUUUUUGCUAUCAUUCGCCCGCAUUUCUCUAGUCUGAACGAUAUUCUGAUGUCCUUACUGUAUAUCCUAGUUAGGUGGAUCAGUGAGUCAAUGCCUCGCUCAUUCUUGGCAUACAGCUUGAUGUCAUUCAUGUAGAGAAGGUGGCUGAUGGUAGCUCCACUCUUGAACCUGUAUCCGUAUCCACUCUUCUAGAUGAUCUGGCUAACGGGGUUGAAGCCUAUGCAGAACAGCAUUGGGGAUAGCGCAUCACUUUGGUAUAUACCACAUUUGAAAUUCACUUGAAUUAUUGUCCUGGAAUUGGCUUCUAGACUGGUUUUACACUUGCCCAUCAAGUUCUUGAUGAAGGCUCUUAUUGUCUUGCUGACCUUGUAGAGAGCCAAGCAUUCCAGUAUCCAUGUGUGUGUCAUUGUGUCAUAAUCUUUCUUGUAGUCAAUUCAGGCCGUACACAGAUUCGUCUGUCUGGUCUUAGAAUCCCUUGUAACUGCUUGGUCUACCAGUAGUUGGUCUUUUGAUCCUCUGGUGUUGUUUCCAAUCCCCUUCUAAGAAUUGCUCAUAUAUUGACUCAUAUGGCCUUGGAUCUUGGAGGCUAUAAUGCCUGACAGGAGUUUCCAUGUUGUGUGGAGGCAGGUUACUGGUCGGUAGUUGGAUGGUGCUGUUCCUGCCUUGUGUUAGCCAGUCAGGGUGGGAGCAUGUUAGUAGUUGGUUAAUUUGUGCUGCUAGGCAUUCAUGCAGCGUUGUUAACUUCUUUAUCCAGUAGUUGUGGAUCAUGUCAGGUCCUGGGGCUGACCAGCUCUUUGUGUGUGCUGCUCUCUGUUGGAUAUCUUUGACUGUGAUGAUGACUGGUCCCUGUUCUAGCAGCAUGCAGUGGUCUGCUUUCAGGUCUAGUAGCAGACCACUGGGCCUCGGUGUUCUGAGAUGCUUCUUGCUCCCAGAUCUUCUUCCAGUACUGUUCAGUUUCAGCUCUAGAUGGGUCUUGCAAGGAGAUGUGGUGGUUACCCUGUAGCUGUGCAUACACCUUGGAUGGUUCUUUGGUAAAGAGGGCAUUCAUUCUCUUAGCCUCUGCUUCUCUGGUGUAUCUGCUCAGUGCCGUCAGUCUUUGCUUAGCUGUUUCCAGCGCCUCCAGUAUGGGCAUAUCCUUGUACUUCUGCAGCAGCCAGGAUCUAUCUUUGAUCUUUCCACCUCUGUUAAAGGACCACUAUAGGCACCCAGACCACUUCAGCUUAAUGAAGUGGUCUGGGUGCCAGGUCCAGCUAGGUUUAACCCUUUUUGCUGUAAACAUAGCAGUUUCAGAGAAACUGCUAUGUUUACAAUAGGGUUAAUCCAGCCUCUAGUGGCUGUCACAUGGACAGCCGCUAGAGGCGCUUCCGUGCUUCUCACUGUGAUUUUCACAGUGAGAAGGCGCCAGCGUCCAUAGGAAAGCAUUGAGCCGAUGACGGAAGAAGAGGGAGGAGAGUCCCAGCGCCGAGGGAGCCCGGCGCUGGAAAAGAGGUAAGAUUUUAACCCCUUCCUCUCCCUUCAGCGCCAUGGGAGUGGGACCCUGAGGGUGGGGGCACCCUCAGGGCACUAUAGUGCCAGGAAAACAAGUAUAGUGGUCCUUUAAGUUGAUCCAGCUUUCUAACUUCCUUCCAUGCUGUCUUUAUCUUGGCUUCCAGUCGUAGUCUAAAUAGCGGGCAUCGCUUCUCUUUUAGCCUGAUCUUGUCGUCAAGUAGCUAGAGGACAGGCAUAUGUCGGUUUGUGCAUAUGAGCCUGUUUAUUUUUGUGAUGGUGCAGGAUGGGAUUGUGGACAAUGCUUCAUUACAUGCAGCUAGUAUGCUGUCUUGUGGUUGCUUUCCAGUGAUCUUCGGUAGUCUUAUCAGCGGGUUAAUGAUUGCUAGUUUUUCUAGGAUCAUUUCCCUUAUAUCUGUUGUUUUGCCAUCUUGGGGUAUCUAUUCAUAUUGAAAAUUCCCUGCAGGUAAGAAUGUGGGGAUGGGAAUUUCUUCCUCCUCAUGGUGUAUUGUUGAUUUCUUCUGUAGUCCUUUUUUUUCCAGUUGUGACACUAGAUUUCUCUUGAAGAUGUUCAAAUGUUGUGUAACUCACACUAAUCAAACUUAGUGGUCCAAGACUGACAAAUGAGUUAAUGAGCUGUGUGCACCACUUUAAGUGCACACAGUCCUUUAAAUUUCCUUGCAUUCAGCCAGGGUAUUUAUCACAUAAUUCUGGAGGAUUCUGACCUUGUCCAGACAGGGGGAGACCCAUGUGGUGUGAAAUGUCUGAAAUGUAAAAUGUUUUUUUUUUUUUUUUUAAAGUCAGUUGCUUGGAGUAGUGCCAUGUUUACAUUAUCAUUACAAGAAUGUAUUACUAUUAUAAAAAACUGUAGUAUCUACUUAGCUGUCUAAUUUUAAACGGAUUUCCAUCUCUACACAGUUUUUUUUUAUACUUAAUUAUAAUGCUAUAAUUAAUUUCUUGACCCAUGAAACGUAACCUAUGGGAUUAUGUCAGUAGACCAAACACAUACUGACAUCGGACCUAGCAGAACUAUAACAGUACAACUGUGCCAAGCAUAUUCUUACUGUAAUGCAUAAAUGCAUACAGAUGAAUAGAUUGCAUGUUAGUACACUAAGCUUAUAUUUCACAGCACUACUGAAUGUACAUGAGAACGCCCUCUGGUAACAGUUAUGCUUCUCAAGCCAACCUCUUUAAAUUAUUUAGGGAACAAGCAACACUCCACUACUUUUGGAUUCAGAUCAGUGAAUAUGUUACUAACUUGUUUAGCCUCUCAAGACCCAAGAGUUACAUCUUAGACUUCACAGGCUUCAGUUAGCAUGUUACGUUUCAUGACAGUACAACAAGAAAAAGAAAUGAACAAGUAAGGUUUGUUGCCAGGAGAAAUUAUUUUCUUUCUAAAAACAACAUGGCAGCAUGGCUUAGUUUUGCAAAGUUGCAUCUGAACAAGCAACGAGACUUCUGGAACAAUGCUUUUUGGUAGCAUAAGAUUAAAGUGGAGAUGCUUUUCAAAAUCCAAAAUGCAUAUCAGCGCAAACACCUCAUACCAACUACUGUCAAUCAUAAUGGGGGUGGAAUGAGGACAUUGCAGUCAUGGAGUUCACCAUGAAUUCUUCUGUAUACCAAUGUAUUCUAGACUAAAUGUGAGGCCAUUUCUCUGACAGCUUAAGCUAGGGCAAAAUUGGAUCAUGCAACAGGACAAUGAUCCCAAGCACACCAGCAAAUCUACAAUAAAAUGGCUGAAAAGGAGAAACAGUCAAGGUGUUGCAAAACCCCAGUCAAAGUCCAGACCUCGACCUGAUUGAAACCUUAAGAGAGCUGUGAAUAAACAAAUGCCAGUAAACCUAAAUGAACUGAUUCAAGAUUAAAAAGAAGAGUGGACAAAAAUUUGUCCACAGCGAUGUGAGAGACUGAUAAAGUCAUACAGAACAUUAUUUCAAGCUAUUGCUGUUAAAGGUGGUUCACAAGCUAUUGAAUCAUAAGGUGUUCUUACAGUGGCGUACACACAAUCCAUGGGGCCCCGGUGCAAAAACUGAUUCCUGGGCCCCCCUGGCGGUUACACCGCGCAGGCUGGGGCAGCAGCACCCUGUCACAGGGGUCCGCAGGGUGGCUGGGCCCCCUGGAGUGAUGGGCCCAGUUGCAGUUGCGACCCCUGCAUGUACGCCACUGUACACACACACACAGACACACAAAUGUAUACAGACACAUACAUACACACAUACAGAGAAACAUUCAUACAUACAUACAAACAAACACAAACAUAUACAAAAUAUUUUAGUCACCCUCCUGUUUCCUACCUUUUAGAUGCAGGAGGGUGACUUCCAUGGGGUUCAGUGGUGGCUCAGCCUGAUGGGAGUCAGAGUUCCCACUCUGACUCCCUCUUCUCUUCCUCCCACGUGGAUCCCGUUGUAAGCUGGGGGGAGUGACGGGACAGUCACAGCUGUGAUGUUAUCAAAGGGGCCCAGUCGCGCUGUUAAAGUGCUGCAGCACUGACCAGGCCCCCUGAAAAUCCAUAGCCACCGGGUGGCUCUAACACCACGGGCCACCUGAUGGGCCCCUUACCGUGCAGCUCAGACGGUUAUACUGCGCAGGCCAGGUCGCAACACAUGGCAGCGGGCACCCGGUUGCAGGGGUCCGCAGGGCGGGCAGGCACCCUGGAGUGACGGGCCCAGUCGCAGCUGCGACCCCUGCGACAGCGGUAUAUACGCCACUGUGUUCUUAAUUGUUCUCUUAUGGCUUCUCCAUGUUUGCUUAUUUUUGUUAAAUAAAUAAUGACACAUAUAUACCACGUGUAAUUGGUUAUCCAAGCUUGUAUAUACUUAAUCAUACGACCUGCUAUGGAACAUGUGAUUUUUAUUAUGUCCUGGUAUGUAAAACCAUAGACUUCAAAGAGAGUGAAAUUUAUUUUUCUCUACUGGAAUUAAUAGUCUUUCCAGACCUUUUAUGGCAAGAAAUUCCAAACUCAGGAUACUAGAGUGUUUUUUUUGCGACAAGUUGGUAAUCAGAGGAAUUUAAUGGUAUACUUGUCUGUACAGAGUGUUUUGUAAUGUUUCUGUUUAGGUUCACAUGUCUUUUAUUAUAUUUCAGCUAACCGUUUUAAUUGAAUAUGCAUAUUUUACAAACAUAUGCCAAUGUUCUUAUUGUUUCAGCAUUCAAAACAAGUCUGUUUAUCAUUCACUGUCUGCCUACACAUUUCACCUUUUCCAUUAAGUUGCAUUUCAACGAAACAGGUCAUUUUCCCUCUCACAAUAUGAAUCCUAUAGUGAUGAGUCAGAUGUGCACUGGCAGAUUAUUUGAAACAAUUUAAAAGCGACACAUUUUAAAAACAGUUUUCUAACAUUCAAAACAUUAACUAGUGUAACCUCCAUAUCUUUCUGUUCAACUAUAAAUAAUUGUGGAAAAUUUAUAUUGAUAUUUCAUGAAUUGAAUAAAUACUUACUAUAUAAAACUUUCUUAAAGGGGAACUCUAAGCACCAAAACAAAUUCACCUGUAUAGAUCAUGCCCCUGCAAACUCACUGUUCAAUUCCCUGCAGAAUUGCAGAGAAUUGAACUUUGUUUAUGCAGUCCUAGAAACAACAAAUUGGCUGUGACUCAAGCAGCCUCCCUACCUGCUUCCUAAAAAAAUAGGUCUACUUUUUUUAGAUUCCUUGCAAAGUGUGUUUAAUUUAGAAGAUAUUAGAAUGUGACUCCAACUCUGUUAAUGUCCUGCUAGAGCACACUGUGCUUAAUUAAAAUCAAUUAACAGAACAACAGAUAAUUACUUCUAGAGAACACAUACUGUGUUUUUUUUAUUUUAUUUUUCAUGGAACAUUUAUAAAUAUAGCCAGGGGACGUGUGGCUAGGGCUGCGUAAACAAAGUGAUUUAACAGAGGAGAACGGAGCAGUGAAACUGCAGAGGCAUGAUCUAUACACCAAAACUGCUUCAAUAAGCUAAAGUUGUUUUUGGUACUUAGAGUAACUAAGUACCCAAUGAAAAUUAAUAAUACACAUAUCUUUCUGCCGGUGCCCAGUUGCACAAUGUACACGAAAAGAUAAGUAGCCAGCACUCAAGGUCUUGUAAGGUGAAAUAAUCUUUUAAUAAUCCAAAGUACCCACAGUCAACGUGUCAGUUCAUCUAAUAGAACUUUCUUCAGGACACAUACUUAUCUUUUGGUGUGUGUGUGUGUAUAUACAUUUUGUAUAUACAAAGUGUGUGUGUAUAUACAUCUUUUGGUGUGUGUGUGUGUGUAUAUAUAUAUAUAUAUAUAUAUACACACCAAAAGAUAAGCAUGUGUCCUGAAGAAAGUUCUAUUAGAUGAACUGAAACGUUGAUUGUGGGUACUUUGGAUAUAUAUACACACACACAGGGGCGUAUUAGCCGCGAGGCAAACAAGGCAUUUGCCUUGGGCGGCAUUUUUCAGGGGGCGGCAAAAAACGCCGCCCCCCAAAUGCUCAGGGCAAAUGCCUAGUUAGCCUCCCGGCUAACUGACAUCCUGAGCGGGCGGGCGGCUCUGGCUGCUGUGCGGGCGGGCGGCUGGUGAGGGAGCACCUCCUCUGAGCUGACUGCUCAGCUCCCUCGCGCACCGCAAAGUGAGGCUGGGAGCCAGAAGAUGACGUCAUCAAAUUGGCUCCCAGCCUCACUCUGUGGGCGGCGCGCGAGGGAGCUGAGCAGUCAGCUCAGAGGAGGUGCUCCCUCACCAGCCGCCCGCCCGCACAGCAGCCAGAGCCGCCCAGCCCGACAGGCAGCCACUGGACCACCAGGGAGAAAGAGACCCCCCAGCACUCCCAAAGGUAAGGAGGUUGGGGGGGGGGGAUUUAAAUUAAAAAAAAAAGUUAAUGUGUGUGUGUCUGACUGACUGUGUGUGUGUCUGACUGUGUGUGUGUUUGUGUCUGACUGUGUGUGUGUGUGUGUGUGUGUGACUGUGUGUGUGUGUCUGACUGUGUGUGUGUCUGACUGUGUGUGUGUGUUUGUGUCUGACUGUGUUUGUGUCUGACUGUGUGUGUGUCUGACUGUGUGUGUGUGUUUGUGUCUGACUGUGUGUGUGUGUGUGUGUGUUUGUGUCGGACUGUGUGUGUUUGUAAGUGUGUGUUUGUGUCUGACUGUGUGUGUGCCUGACUGUGUGUGUGUCUGACUGUGUGUGUGUUUAUUUAGAAGGUGGGGCGGGAGGGAAGGGUUGGGUGGGGGUGGCACGGGGGGGAAGGGGGCGCCUGAGUUUUGUCCUGCCUAGGGCAGCACAAAACCAGGAUACACCACUGCACACACAUAUAUAUACAUAUACACGUACAUACAUAGGUUCUUGUUGAAGUGCCCUCACAGGACUCAAUAAUAUUUCUAAUCGUGCUGUUUAUUCAAGCAUCAAGUAAUACAAAGAAGUGUCGACGUUUCAGUCCUUGCCGGACUUUUUUCAAGACUAUAUAUAUGUGUUUGGGGCAUUCUCAUAUGAUAUAGAAUAAAAUGGGUUGUAGAGAUAUAGCUUUAGGAAUAAUCGGUUGAGGUGUGCCGAAACCGACGUAUGCUGUAGGCCGGUAAAAAGUGGGCUUACAUAGAGGAAAUAUGAACAAUGGGAGUGGAGGGUGGGGCUAUUCGUCUGACCAACAAAGGUAAGUAGGGAAAGGGGGGAGUCCCUUUUAUAGGUCUAUAACCCCUCCAACAACUUCAGGCCAUGCCUUCCAAUUUGUGUUCGGGGCAUUCUCAUAUAGAAUAAGAUGGAUUGUAGAGAUGUAGCUUUAGGAAUAAUCGGUUGAGGUGUACCGAAACCGACGUAUGCUGUUGCUGUAGGCCGGUAAAAAGUGGGCAAAAAGACAUAUUAAUGCAAAACAUUAUACAGGAUCAUAAUGCAUUUGUUAACCAUGAGGUAGACAUUUUAAUGAAAGCUUCCUAAUUCCUGAAUCGGCUGUGUUAUGUAAGUCGCAUAAGCCUAUGAUUCCCAGCGGCCCCGUGUCUUAAUGUUUGCGGAGGCUGCUCCUAUCCUAAAGGAGUGCCCUGAGUAGUCGCUAGGUUUUAGUUUGAGCCCCGUGAAUGAGUAGGUGGACAUAGUGCAUGAACUUACCUGUGGUAAGGACAGUAUCGUACAGCGACAGUAAUGGUUCAGUGGUGCGUAUGGUGGUGUGCCCAAGAACGUAACCAGUACCUUAACCGGGCACCCAGCAUUGCUUGUUAGGUAGUAGGUUAUAUGCACUGGCUCGCCCAUCUGACUCGUCUUAGUUUUAGGAAGGGACCGGACAUAGUGGUCUGUGUGUUUUAGAAGAUAAGAGGUCAACAGGCACUCUCGUUUAUGAUGUUGGCUGCUGAAAGUGAGUUAUUUUUUUGACCUGAGAAAGCCGUUGAAGGCUAGAUAGAUAGCAGUUUUGAUAACUGCAUUGGUGCGUGGCUCAGAAGGUGCAUGGUCGAGUGGUUCUGACAUGGUUUGAACAUUUUAUGUCUAUGGCCAGUAUUUAGUUUUAGCGUCCGCUUGGCUAUGUCUCUAAGUAAGGUAUGGAUGGGGUAGGAAGAUAGGAACCCUUGUAAUCUAUGACCUUGGCCAUAAAUGACCCCCCUGCCAUGGUGGCUGUCACGGCAGCUGCCACAAUAGUUUACCAUUACGUGCGGUUAAGAAAGUCCACCAUGUGUGUAGGUCUGCCGUGGCUUGGUUGUUUAGGGACAGCCCCUGAUCAUCAUGCGGGAGUGUGGAAAAAGCAAAGUGGUCUGAGAUGAAAGCGCGGCCUGCUGUAUUAUGUGCAUGGCAAAAUUUAAGGAACCUGGUAGGGAUUUUAGUUCCAUGCAGUUGCAAGUACCAAGCAGGAGGUGGUAAUUGUAGCGGAGCGGCAAUAUUAAAUUCCACGAUCUCCGCUGUUAAAGAAGGUAAUCCACAGUCAAGCGCUGAAAAGUAAGGCAAUAUCCCAAAUCCCCCAGUAACCGGACGAAACACAGUUCUGGGAGUCAACUGAGGUUUUUAUUCACAGCAUCCAGUAUUUAUGUAAGUCCCCAUGCAAGGGGAUUCCCUACUGACAUGGCAGGACUUGGGGGACUUAACAUUCUGGGCAUUUCUCCUAUCAGGCACUGCUGGACGAGAGGGAUACUCCCACUGGAAUACACCGUUAAGUGGAUUAUGUCAGUGGCUAUAUAUGGCGAUAUCGUCCAGGUAUGCGCAUGCAUAUUCCUGAAACCCGUCCAGUAGCCGAUCCACCAUCCUUUGAAAGGUCACCGGGGUGUUUUUCAUCCCGAAUGGCAUGACCCGAAAUUGGUACAGGCCAAACGCGUAACAAAUGCUGACUUGGGGAUGGCAUCCUAGGCUAGUGGAAUUUGCCAGUAUCCCUUACAUAAAUCUAUGGUGGUGGGAUACUGGCCUCGUGCCAUCUUAUCCAGCAGCUCGUCUAUCUGGGGCAUCGGAUAGGCAUCAGACACGGUUUUGACAUUUAGCCUCCGGUAGUCAACACAAAAACAUGUUGUGCCAUCCUUCUAAGGUACCAGCACUACCGGCGAUGCCCAGGGGCUAUCGGAAAGUUCAAUAACCCCUAGCUGCAACAUUUCCUCAAUCUCUUUUCUCAUAUGCUCCCUGACUGCUUCAGGGAUACGAUAUGGAGUCUGCCGCAUAGGUAGCUGUCCCUUGGGUCUCGACUCGGUGAGUGGCUAGUGGAGUGUACCCAGGUAAAUUAGAGAAAGUGGCUCCUUUAGCCGCGAUCAACUCUCAUACCUGGGCCCGCUCCUGAGGGCUUAACCGCUCUCCGAGCUGAACCCCCUGUCUGGUCAUCCUGUUCUAAUAGGUCAGGUAGUGGCAGGUUCUCCUGAUCCUCAGAGGCAGAGGCACAUAUUGCUGCCACGUUCUCUAUCCUCUCGUGAUAGGGUUUGAGCAUAUUCACGAGAGCAUGGAGCAUGCGUCUCUUCCCUACCCCCGAGCAGGGGCCAAUCACAUAGGUGGUGUCACAUCUCUUUAAAAUCAAAACCUUCUGUCCCACUUGAAAGCUGCGGUUUCUGGCUCCCUUAUCGUACCAGCAGCGCUGACGUUGCUGAGCCGCCUGGAGGUUAGUGUGCAUGGCCUUGGGUUAGUGCCUCCAAGCAGUCCCUGAACUCCAGCACGUAUGGCACGAUAGUUACAUAGUUACAUAGCUGAAAAGAGUCUUGCGUCCAAGUUCAGCCUUCCUCACAAAUGUUGUUGCUGUUGAUCCAAAAGAAGGCAAAAAACCUGGUCUGAAGCGCUUCCAAUUUUGCCACAAACUAGGAAAAAAUUCCUUCUUGACCCCAAAAUAGCAGACAGAUGUCUCCUUGGAUCAAGCAGCUAUUACCCCACUAAUUAGAAAUUAUAUCCCUAUAUGUUAUGGUUUUGCAAGUAUUUAUCCAAUUGCAGUUUAAACAUCUGUAUGGACUCUGACAAAACCACCUCUUCAGGCAGAGAAUUCCAUAUCCUUAUUGUUCUUACUGUAAAAAAACCUUUUCUUUGCCUUAGAUGAAAUUUCCUUUCUUCCAGCCUAAAUUUGUGACCUCGUGUCCUAUGUAUAGCCCUGUUUAUGAAUAGAUUUCCAGAUAAAGGUUUGUACUGGCCCCGAAUAUAUUUGCAUAAAGUUAUCAUAUCCCCUCUCAGGCCCCGUUUUUUAAACAGAUUACAUUUUUUUAACCUUUCGUCAUAACUAAAAUGCUCCAUUCCUUUUAUCAAUUUUGUAGCUCGUCUCUGGACCCUCUCCAGUGCCAUGAUAUCCUUCUUUAGAACAGGUGCCCAAAAUUGCACAGCAUAUUCAAGGUGUGGUCUUACCAGCGAUUUAUAAAGAGGCAAAAUUAUAUUUUCAUCCCGGGAAUUUAUGCCCCUAUUUAUACAUGACAAAAUCUUACUGGCCUUAGCAACUGCAGAUUGACAUUGCAUAUUGUUGCCUAAUUUGUUGUCUAUAACAAUUCCCAAAUCCUUCUCGUGUGUGGUUGUCCCUAAUUCACUACCAUUUAGUGUGUAAGUUGCUUGUGCAUUCUUAACCCCGAAGUGCAUAACUUUGCCUUUCUCUAUGUUAAUUUCAUCUGCCAUUUUAGUGCCCAGUCCCCCAAUCUAUCCAAAUCUCUCUGCAAAGCAAUAUGCUGCUCACAUUUUAUUACUUUACAAAGUUUUGUGUCAUCUGCAAACACUGAUACAUGGCUUCAAUGCCUAUUUCAAGAUCAUUUAUAAAUAUGUUAAAUAGAAGUGGUCCCAAAACAGAACCCUGAGGGACACCACUUACCACUUUUGUCCAGCCUGAAAAUGUACCAUUAAUUACAACUCGUUGUACUCUAUCCUUAAGCCAAUGUUCUACCCAAGAACAAGAAUAUUCAUCUAGACCAAUUUUUUUUAGUUUGAAGGCUAACCUAUUGUGAGGAACCGUAUCAAAUGCCUUGGCAAAAUCUAAGUAGAUCACAUCCACUGCAACACCCUGAUCUAUACUUCUACUUACUUCUUGGUAGAAUGCAAUUAGGUUAGUUUGACAUGACCUAUGUUUCAUAAAACCAUGCUGAUUAUUGCUAAUAAAGUUCUUCCCAAUGAAUUCCUGAAUAUUAUCCCUUAAUAGCCCUUCAAAUAUUUUCCCAGUUACAGAAGUUAAGCUUACAGGUCUAUAAUUUCCAGGCAAGGAUUUUGAACCCUUUUUAAAUAUAGGAACAACAUCUGCCUUCCUCCAAUCCUCCAGUACAACACCUGAAACAAAAGAAUCUUGAAAAAUUAAAUACAGAGGUUCACUUAUUUUCCCACUUAGCUCCUUAAGUACUCGUGGGUGAAUACCGUCAGGCCCCGGAGCUUUAUUUACAUUAAUUUUCUUUAAUAGCUGUAGCACCUUGUGUUGAGUUAUCCAAUCACAAGUUAUUUGCAAGUUUUUUGCAGCAAUCAUUUGCAUAUCUCUUGGCAUAGGAUCCUCAUUAAUAUAUACCAAAGAAAAAUAGUUAUUUAAAAUUUCUGCUUUUUCCUGGUCUUCAUUAGCUAAUAAACCCAACUCUGUUUCAAGUGUACCUACACUUGAAUUUUUAUUUUUUUUAGAAUUGAUGUACUUGAAAAAAAUUUUGGGGUUGGUUUUGCAUUCUUUAGCUAUCAAUUUCUCAUUUUCUAGUUUAGCCACUUUAAUUGCCUUUUUGCAAGCGUUAUUGGCUUCCUUAUAUCUUAAAUAGGAUGCCUUUGAUUUGUCUGAUUUAAAUGCUUUAAAUGCCCUUUUCUUAUUUGUAAUCUCUUGUUUUACUUCUCUACUAAGCCACAUUGGUUUUAAUUUGUUUCUUUUAUAUUUAUAGGGGUCCCAUCUGCGCUACUCUCUCCCUCCCAAUGCUCCCUAAUUAAGUCUAACGGCCCUCGCACCCUUCUCUCAAACAACAAUUCAAACAGGGAAAAUCCCGUCGACUCCUGGGGUACCUCCCUAUAGGCAAAAAGCAGAUGGAAAAAAAAAAUUUGCUCCCAGUCCUUAUGGGCCUCUCCAAACGUACAGAGCAUCUGUUUCAGGGUACCGUUAAAUCUUUCGUAUAACCCAUUGGACUGAGGGUGAUAUGCAGAAUUUACUAUUGGCUUAAUACCACAUAUCCUCCACAGUUGUUGGGUGACCUCGGCGGUGAACUGGGUACCCCUAUCGGAGAUGAUCUCUUGGGGUAACCCCACCCUGGAGAAUAUUUUCAUUAAGGCCUCGGCCACAGUCUCUGCGUGAAUGUUGGAAAGGGCGAUGGCCUCGGGGUACCGGGUGGCAUAGUCCACUAUGGUCAAAAUAUAUCUCUUACCCGAGGGACUAGGCUCGGGCAAGGGCCCCAUUAUGUCUAUGGCCAUCCUACUGAAAGGUUCUUCAAUGACAGGGAGAGGGCAUAAUUUGGCUUUGUGGCGGUCACCCCUCUUUCCCACUCGCUGGCAAAUGUCACAUGAGUUGCAGUACUGCCUCACAUCUUUAGAAAUCCCUGGCCAGAAAAAGGCAUGGGUCAACCUGUAUCGGGUGCGUGUCAUUCCCAGAUGCCCAGACAAGGGAAUGUCUUGAGCAAUCCUAAGCAGUUCUUGCCUAUACUUUUGGGGAACUAGUAACGGUUUAGUCAUUACUGUAACCGAUACUCUUUCAGCAAUGCGAUAGAAUAGCCCUUUCUCCCAGGUAUACUGCUCCCCCUCUAACCCGGCCUGAGCUGUGCUUACCCUGUCCCUGUAUACCUGUAGCGUGGGGUCUACCUUCACCUCCGCCCCAAAUGUAGUUGGGAUAUCUCAGGUCAUACGUGUCGUGUGGGGGUCAUUGUCUCUUACCUGAGCCUCAGAGUGUGUUGGUGGAACCGUGGUGCGAGCCUGCUGCCAGGUGGUCACUCAUUUAGCCACGUGUGGAGCCUGGGGUAUAAAAGCAGAGGUCAUCUGGCCCAAGUCAUUCCCUAGUACAACAUCCGCAUCAUUCCCUAGUACAACAUCCGUAACUUCUGCAUCAGGCACACUUCUACCAUCCCCUCCCAGCACCCCAGUUCAAAUGUACUUUGGCAGUGGGUAGUCGGUACACUGCUCCCCCUGCCAUUCGUACUGCCACGGAUCCGCUGGUAUGUGCUGAACCUGGUACCAAAUGGGGCACUACCAAAGUUAGGGUGGCUCCCGAAUCUCUGAGCCCCUGCACUUCUUUCCCCUCUAGUGUCACCAGCUGACGAUGAUAUUGUCGGUUGUCAGUGGCUUGAACCGACAUUACUUCAUGCAGUAGUCCCAGGGGUUCCUCGGCCUGAGUACUCAGUAUCUCCUGUGUGGCUGGCUCUACUUGAUAAUGAUGUGCGGCGGCUCUGGGUGCCGGGUUCUGCCGUACUUGGUUCCAUGCUUGUCGGCUCCGAUUCUGAGUGCACUUCCGAGACAUAUGUCCCCACUGCCUGCAGGUAUGGCACUGAAUGUUAGCUCUGCCAUUGUAUUGUGAGGGUGGUUCCCCUGGAUUGGUCUAAAGGGGGUUGUCGUGGGAGCUGUAGGCUUAACUGUAUUGGGUUGCACCGUGGGUCGACGGUAACUCCGAUUGAAGUGCCCGUGAUGCCUCCUGGCAUCAAAAUGUUGGUCUGCUAAUCGGGCCACUUCAGUUAGGGUGAGGGGUUUUCGGUCUCUCACCCAUUCUUGUGCCUCUGGAGACAGGCCAUUAAAAAUUGUUCCAAUAGCAUCAAUUGCCGUAACUCCUCCAUAGUGGUGGCUUGGCUGGCUUGUAUCCACCCCUGUGAUGCUUGAUCCAGCUUGUGAGCCCAUUAGGCAUGAGAAUCUUUCUCCGGUUUGCGCAAUCCUCUGAAUUUGCGCCGGUAUGCCUCCGGAGUAAUGGCAUACCUGUUUAAUAUGGCUCUUUUUACUUUGGUAAAGCGCGAUAAGCUUCUGCUGUCCGACCUGACAGCUUGCCUGCCAGUAACGGUAGCCAUACUGCCUGCUCCAAGUCAUGUAAAUCGCACAGCCUCUCAAAAUCUCAUCCUUCUCCUCAUAAAACAUCUUAAAGGCAUGGUAUGGGAUUUUGGGUUUUACCUGGCUGCAGACAGAGGUAGUAAUCGAUUCUGCCCUGGACGGGGUCUCCUGUGGACUGUGUGGCAUCACAUACUCCCUCACAUCCGCCAUCAGCACGGUCAAUAUUUCCAAGGGUACUGGCUGGGGUAGAAACUCCAUUCUGGUUCUCAUUUCCUUUUGGUAUAGAGUUUCCCCAUGGCUGGUGGGGGUGUAGCGCUGUGGGCUCGGUCUCCCUCCAUCAGCUCGGUGAUCAACACUGCUUUCGAAUUGUUGCUGGCUAUCCUUCCCCUGGCUUCCAGCAGUUCCUUUAGUGUCUGCCUUUUUAAUGCAGUGUAAUCCGUCUCCAUUCACUUUUCUCGUUCGGUUCUCUGCUGUAUCCGAGUUGCCAUUCCCUUUUCUCGUUCGGUAGUUUUACUUUAUCCAAACGCCACUUUUCGGCUGUAAGGUUGGAUCCCGUCGCUUGCCACCAAUUGUAGCGGAGCGGCAAUAUUAAAUUCCACGAUUUCCGCUGGUAAAGAAGGUAAUCCACAGUCAAGCGCUGAAAAGUAAGGCAAUAUCCUAAAUCCCCCAGUAACCGGACGAAACACAGUUCUGGGAGUCAACUGAGGUUUUUAUUCACAGCAUCCAGUAUUUAUGCAAGCCCCCAUGCAAGUCCCCAUGCAAGGGGUUUCCCUACUGACAUAGCAGGGGUAACACAGUAGGGGGACUACAUGGGGGACUUAACAUUCUGGGCAUUUCUCCCAUCAGGCACUGUUGGAUGAGAGGGAUACUCCCACUGGAAUACACCGUUAAGUGGAUUAUCCCUCCGUGCUGCAGAACCGGCAUUUUACAUUUAAAUACAUAACUUUUACACUAUUCGGUUUAUUUAAACGAAUGGACAUUCGGUUGAUAGCUGGGGUCUGAACGCACAUUUUGUGGGAAUACCGCUUAGAUCCCAGCUAAAACAACCAAAUGCCACACGAAAUACACUUUGCCAUCGCGUUCGCCUAAAAGUACCAAACACCGAUGGGGGAACCACAAUAACGAAAGACCAGAGCUCCUGAACGGCCUGGAAGUUCAGCGGUGUUUGCGCCGUUGAGUAGCCGUUUUCAGUUCCAUGCGCUUGACGACCAAACACCGCUGGUGAGACAAAGGAUCCAAGAUGGCCGACCGCCGCGUGGUCGGUAGCCGAACGACGGCCACCUAGGAAAGUCUUUAAUUACCGAUUGCAACAUUGUUGCAAUCAGUUAAUGAGCGCCACACGUCCCUCUAUGUGUGGGCUAUUAGGGGGUAGCUCAUUCGGUUCACGAACAGCCAGUAAGGUUGCUGUUCGUGAAACGAAACACAUGAAUGCUAGCGGCUUUCGGCUGCUAGCAUACGAAUUCCAUGCAAACACAUAGUAACACAGUGUAGAUCUAGGUUAUACUUGAAGUUACAGGGAUUAGUACAGACAACCUUUGUAUGUAUAUAGUCCAGAGUAUUACAAGUGUCUAGGUUUGCCACAGUAAUUGGUGUUGUGACUGAUCCUAUUUCUCAAGUGGUAACUUGUUGGCAUGGAUGCCCAGGAAUGUAACGAUAGUGUCUGGGUCUUCUGUGACCUUAGGGAAUACUGGGAUACCCAAGUGUUCAGACAUACUAAUGGCUUCCUUGAAGCUUCUAGAGGGAAAGGCGUUCCCUUUGACCAACAAGAAAUCAUCGCAGGAGUGUAUGACUGUGGGGCAUCUGGAUAUGUUUAACCACAACCAAAGAAUUCAACAAAUAUAUUGAAGAUUGUGGGCUGCUCUUGACCCGAAAGUUAAGUGGGAGAAGAAAUAUUAACUGCUGCCCAUAAAUGCCCUGUAAGUGCCAGUGUAGGGUGGAUGGUGGCAGUCUGAAAUGAGUUUGUGAUAUCAGUUUUACUUAACCAGGCUUCCCCCCCCUGCUUGAGUGAUAGCUGUAAUGGUAUAAACAAUGAUGGCAUACUGUAAUGAAAACUCCUCGGAGGGUAUGAGGGUAUGGGAUUGCGCCACGCUGUAAAUGGUGUAGAUCGGAGAGGCCCAGGUAGAAAUCUUUCUGCCAUUUCUUGGGCCAUGAGUGUAAUGCCAGCUGUUGGAUGCUGCUGUGAUGACUGCAAGUUAGGGCAUUCUAGAUUCCCCCAAAAGUAUAUGGCAAUACCUGUACGGAAGGCCUUUAAAAAUCAGAGAUUAGGAAAUCAACUAAAUGUCUUGAAGGGUGAUGAGUUAGUAAGUACUGCAUAAUGUUUACAGACGUGAAGUAAGGUUCAGGAUACAUUUAUUGGGACACAUGGUUUUUGCAUGUGCCCUGAUAUAUUGAGAACAUAUCUGCAACAGUCUGCAUGCACUGAAUCUUCAUGUGCCAACAUGGAAAUUGUUGCAAAUCUGGGAUUUGCCAAUGAGAAUGAGACGUCCCAAUUUGUCUCUGGUAGUUCUCUAUGUACUACCAGAGGUGCUAGAGCCUGGAGCCUAAAACGUGAUCGUCCGCUAUGUUGGGACAAAAUUGUCGUGUGGGACUAGCAACAUUUCCUGAAAGUGUAAGUGAAAGUGUGUUGAGUCUAACUGGAGUGUUAGGUAGAGAGAAAUUCUUACCACCUGCUUGAUACAUACUAAAAACAUGAAGAGAGCCAUUAUUAUAUGAACCCACAGUGUGCUAGUACUGGCUUGCUAGCUAAAGCCGCAUGGCGAAACAAUUAAUCCUUUGUUUGGUGACAUGUGAGGCCCUGCUAGUUGCCAAGUGGCUUGAGAGGCUCUAUCUAUGCAAUGGCACGAGGGGAUUUUUGUGGCCACCAAACGUAGUGGCAGGAUAUUGGCCUCUCGGUGACUGUAACCAGAAAAAAGGGGAAGGGAGUGACAGGUGAGGCCCUCUCUAUAUACCAUGCAAGGCGGCUAGCUCACGAGUGGCCCGAUGGGUGUUUGCCUCAGAGUGUUGAGGCGGGGUGUUGGCCUUGCGGGAUCACUAUACGACAGGCGUAGAUGCCAAGAAAGGAGAAUACCUAUUGGAAACCUAUAGUCCCUAAUUGCCAGUACGCUAAGGAUAUACCCAGGGGGAAACAGAAAAUGUAUGUAUAUACGACAUGAGCAGGUGUAUGUACCUGAUAGUAUGAUUAGAUACCCUUACUGGUCGUAAGGGUUAUUAAUAAUAGACAUUUAAAAUCAUAUAACCAUAUGUGUGUUAUGCAAGUUUAAUAGAGCAAAGUGCUCUGUCCCAAUGUUUAUUAUAUAUAUAUAUAUAUAUAUAUAUCUAUAUCCAAAAAUAGCAAUGGCUGCUCUCCGGUCUUAGAAAAAAGUUUAUUGAAUCAAAGUAAAAACAAUGACCAACGUUUCAGUCCCCGCUCGGGACUUUCCUCAGGGUCAGGAAAAACAGAUCAACAAUUACCAUAGAUACAAGUUACAAAUAUAUACCCAUAUAAUCAAAAUUAAAACUUACCCAGGUGCACUACUGCCAUCACCAACGGAACCACAGGGACUUCCGGGUAUGCGCGCGCAUCCGCACGUGCGCUCCUCCCACCCCACGUGCUGACGUCAUGCGUCCGAUCACCAUAGAAACAUAUACACACUGAUCUCAACCCCAUAAAAACGCAAUGCUGCAUAGGGGGAGAUCGUGGUCAUAAGUAGUGCAUGAAUAAUUGUUGCUAUUAAGAAAACUAAAUACAAAUAGUUAAAAGACUGUAUGAUACUAAAAAGGGGUACAUAAACACCCAAAUUGCCAGUGUAUAAUUAUGGUGUUUACAGUGUGAACUAUAAAGUGCAUGAUAGUGUUAUUUAAAUCACCUAUUAAAGUGACAUCAGUGCAAAAAGCAUUAUAGCAUAAAGUGCUAGUGUAUAAUAUGAUGUAAUUGAAAUUACAAAGUGCUGUGUAUCCUCAAAUACAUAAUAUGCCUAAUGAAAUCAAUAUUAUGCAUACAUAAUUAAUAGUUAAUCCAAAAAAGAUAAUAACAUGUAACACAUACUAAAAAAAGAAUGCAUAUAAUUAAUGCAUCCCCAUGCUCUAGUUCCUAACAACAACAACAACUAUAUAUAUUAUACUUACAAUAUUAAAAAUCAAAAUUUGGUAACAAGCUAUACUUUAAAUAAAGGCAUUGUACGGAAUGUUUUCAUUCAAUCCAAUAGGAGAUACUGUAUUUAAUUGAUGUAUCCAAAAAGCUUCCCUUUGAAGCAGCAUUUUGCCUCUAUUGCCACCUCUACGAGGAAGAGGAAUGUGGUCUAUACCCACAAAUUUAAGGCAUGCCAAUGAAUGCUUCUUAUCUAAAAAAUGUUGGGCUACCGGCUUAUCCGAAUGUCCGUCUCUAUACGCUAACCUAAUGCUCGAGCGGUGACCUCUGAUCCGUUCACAAAGUUGUGUCUCCGUCUUGCCCACAUAGUACAAUCCACAAAGACACAUCAAUUUAUAUAAAAAGGAAAGGAAAAACUGUGUUUUAGAGGCUCUUACAGGUUGUGGAGAACAAUAUAGAAAAUGCUACAACACUCUUGUGGGGGUCCCUCACACCCACCUCAAAUUGAAAGAGCUAUAGAAAAAGGUAAAAAAGCCAAAGGCAUAGUGAUUAUGAGCAUAGUCAUUUUUAUCCCUAAAAAUACUCUACAAGAGAUAUUGAACACAAAUAUGUCAUCUAGUGACUAUUCCUCUAUGGUAGAUAAUAUUCAGGCAAAUAUUAACAAACUAGAGAAAACAGUAAUAACAACGAAGAAGAAGAAAUAUAUUAGGGAUAAAAAUGACUAUGCUCAUAAUCAGGUCCGUUCGUAUUCAAGAACACAAUCUAGGCAUAGAAAUGAGGAACACAAUGAACAAGACGGUAGAUACAGACAGCCAGAUAAGGGAUACCAACCCCAUGGUUCCAAUUCAUUGCAACAACCAUAUGCAAGGCAAGCUAAUGCUAAUAAAGAUUUGAGACCUAGACAUUAUGCUAAGGCUAGAGAUCAUUCUAAGGGAAAGUAUCCCCAUAUACAUUCCAACAUUAAUACUCCAGAAAGAUUGGUAAGGAGAAAAGAAAUGAGUAGACCUUUACAUCAUUACUCCACGAUUAACCACCAACAGCAAAGUAAUUACCAAUCAACAUCGUCUAUUCCCCUCAAAAAUAGAUUUAAUAACCUGGAGAGGUCAUCUAGGAGGGAGGAUUUUCAAGGGACUUACACCAGGGACAAACACAAAAACACACCAAUGAAAGUUUGGGGGAAAAGAGCAAGGAGUUUAGAAGAAGGGGAAGUAGAGGAGGAACGGCAGUACAGAAAAGGAAGACAGGACAGAUGGGACCCAUAGAGUCUAAUGGCAUUUUUAAUCUUACCACACGUACAUUAACCAAUACACAGAUUGGACUUCUAUCUAAAGGGUUAAAGUAUGCACCGACUAAACCAAUAGACAAAUUUAAUGUAUAUGUAGACCUUCAAAAAUUCAAGAGGAAGUUAUGCCUCAAAAAUUUUUUUGCAAAAAAUACCAUUAGCACCCCCGAUUGCCCUCAAAAUGAGUUCAUCCACUCCAACCUAAGGGAAACGUCAACUUUUUAUCCUCAUUCGUUAAUCUCAGAGGGGAUCAUUACAUUUGAAAAAAUGGUAAUGAAUGAGGUUAAGAACCUGAAAGCACCUAAGAAUUGGGAGUAUAAUUUAAAUAACAAAGAAAGAGAUACUCUUACAGACUUCAAGAAAGAUGACACACUGGUAAUAAAACCAGCAGACAAGGGAGAGGGGAUAGUCCUAAUGGAUAAGGAAAGCUAUGUGCAGGAGUGCCAAAGACUACUGAUGGAUGCCAAUACAUAUAAAAAAUUGACUAAGGAUCCUAUCAAUGAUAUUAAAAUAACUUACCAUCAACUUAUAGAUCAUGGGAAAAUGGUAGGUAUUUUAAAUAAUAAGGAACAGAAGUACCUCGACAUCAAAUAUCCUAGAACUCCAGUAUUUUACCAGCUCCCAAAAAUACAUAAAAAUAAAGAUCAUCCACCAGGGAGACCCAUAGUAUCUGGGAUAGGAUCUAUAUCUAGCCGCCUAUCCCAGUACAUAGACAGGUGUCUUCAAUCGGCAGUUCCCCGAUGCCCUAGUCAUCUAAAAGAUACAAUGAGUAUAUUAAAUCUCUUGAAGAACCAGGUAUGGGAAGAAAACUAUAUUUUGGUAACAGCGGACGUGAGUUCAUUGUAUACCAUCAUCUCACAUGAGCAGGGAUGCCAAGCCACUAGAUUUUUUCUAGACAAGUUUGGAGAAUUCCCCGAGGAACAAAUUAAUUUUAUCAUUAAAGGAAUUAGAUGGAUUCUCACCAAUAACUACUUCUGGUUUGGGGGUGACUUCUACCUCCAGAUAUGCGGUACGGCGAUGGGCACCAGGUUCGCCCACAGUUAUGCCAAUCUGUUCAUGUCAUUCUGGGAACACCAAUAUGUGUAUGCAAGGCAGGACUGGGAGGAGAAUCUGGUGCUCUAUCGCCGCUACAUCGACGACAUAUUUCUAAUCUGGAAGGGGGACGAGGAGUCCCUGUUAUCUUUCCUAACAGCCCUUAACGAUAACACUUGGGACAUCAAAUUGGAAAGUAACCACAGCCGUAUAUCUGUGGAAUUUCUGGAUCUCCAAAUUUACAUAGAUAAGGGUGAAAUUAAAACCAAAACCCAUUUAAAAAAAGUAGAUGUGAACAGCUACAUUGAGGAAACGAGCUGUCAUUUCUCCCCCUGGCUCACAAAUGCACCUAAAGCACAAUUAAUGAGGAUUAAAAGAAAUUGCACUGAUAAUGAGGUUUAUAAAGUUCAAUCAUGCAAAAUCCUUGAUGAUUUUAGACAGAAAGGGUAUGGAGCCCAAUUAUUAGAUAAGGCCCAACAGGAGGUUUCUUUAAAAGAUAGGGAGUCAUUGUUACAAUACAAAUUACCACAAAAUGAGAAUGAUGAGCGUAAUCUGACAUUUAUCUGUGAUUUUAGUUGUCAGAACUAAAAGUUAAAAAAGAUAUUUCAAAAAUAUUGGCCCAUUCUAAAAACUGAUACAAUUUUAAGUGGAAUGUUACCAAGUAAACCUAUUUUUACCUAUAGAGGAGUCCCUAGUUUAAAAACCAAUCUAGUACGGAAUCAUAUAAAAGAACAAAAUAACAUUGGGAAUGCCUUUAACCAAAAAAAUGGAUUUUAUGGUUGUGGUACGUGCGGUGCAUGCAAGAAUAGUGGUCAAAAAAAGAGACACAUUACGACAUUUUCUACUUGUGAAUCGCAAUUUCAGGAUAAUCAGUCCAAAAAACAUAAAAUAAAUCAACUUAUAACUUGUUAUUCUAAACGAGUUAUUUAUUUUAUCACUUGUAAAUGCGGCCUGAAUUAUGUAGGCAGAACUACCAGACCCCUCCACGUAAGAAUAAAGGAACAUAUUCGUAAUAUUAGGAAGGGGUUUGAUAAACAUAGUCUGUCUGCACAUUUUAAAUAUAAACAUAACUGUGAUCCAACCCAAUUAAAGUUCAUAGGCAUACAAAUUGUUAAUAUUAAUUGGAGAGGUGAGGAUCCAAUAAGGAAGAUGGGACAACAGGAAAUGAGAUGGAUUUUUGACCUUAAUACUAUGACUCCUACUGGUCUUAAUAGUGAUUUUGAAAUGUGUCAUUUUUUGUAAUAUCACUUUAAGUAAUAUAUGUAUUUUAUGUAUUUAUUUUAAAUUAUAAUAUACACAUGUUUUAAUAUAUUAAAGGACCACUAUAGUGCCAGGAAAACAUACUCGUUUUCCUGGCACUAUAGUGCCCUGAGGGUGCCCCCACCCUCAGGGACCCUCUCCCGCCCGGCUCUGGAAGGGGGAAAGGGGUAAAAACUUACCUUUUUCCAGCGCUGGGCGGAGAGCUCUCCUCCUCCUCUCCGCCUCCGAUCCGCCCCGCCGGCUGAAUGCGCCGCGCGGCAAGAGCUGCGCGCAUUCAGCCCGUCGCAUAGGAAAGCAUUUACAAUGCUUUCCUAUGGACGCUGGCGUGCUCUCACUGUGAAAUCACAGUGAGAAGCACGCAAGCGCCUCUAGUGGCUGUCAAUGAGACAGCCACUAGAGGAUUAGGGGGAAGGCUUAACCCAUUCAUAAUUAUAGCAGUUUCUAUGAAACUGCUAUAAUUAUGAAAAAAUGGGUUAACCCUAGAAGGACCUGGCACCCAGACCACUUCAUUAAGCUGAAGUGGUCUGGGUGCCUAGAGUUGUCCUUUAAUAUAGUAGUUUUUCCCUUUGAGGUGAAGAUGCAAUUAAAAGAUAUCCCAAUGGGUUUUAUAAUAUCAAUUUGUAAUGAUAUAUUUGGUAAUAAUUAGGAACUACAUGUUCCAUAAAAGUUUUCUAUGUAUUUGGAUGAAUGCCCUCAAGCUAACCGAUUGACCCGCAUUGAAUAAGGGACAUAGGGAGAGCGAAGAACACGAUCUAACAGUGUUCUGUCUCUUUUCCCAUACUAUUGCCCAUAAGUAAAAUGGCGACCGCGAGUACCGGAAAUGACGGGGCGAUGUGCCUGACGUCACUUCCAGUUACGGCCGUAAAUGAGACGGAAACCACAGGCACACUCUCCUAAGCAAUAUGAUUGGAUAAUUACUGGGACUAUACACCAAUGAGAGGACAUACCGGGAUAUUUGAACCGGGACACAAACCAGAGGAACACACAUCCGAUUGAAAAAGCCCUCAGGCAGGGCGAAACGCGUCUCGGAAAAAGGAGGACAUUUAUGGGACAUUUUUUUAUUCUCUCUUUUUUAACUUUGAGUAGAUUUUUUUAUGUUUUACACUUUCUUGCCAGUGGGCAUAAUAAAUUAAUAUCUUUUUCAUACAAGUUCCUACUGACCUUCAUUGAAGCUGCUACAAGAAGGGUUGGUGUCUCCCUUACUUUGACACUAAUGCUGGAAAUUUAGAGCCAAUAUUAGGGCUCAAAACAAGGUGAGCGUCCAUUUAUUUAUAUAAUAAAUUCACUUUGAUCUGAGGUUACUGCACUAUAUUGUUUUCCUCUAUGUAAAUUUUAUUUCUGAGGUAAUUCACCUACGUGUUCAAAAGAAAGGGGAUAGUACCACCAGACGGUACCAUAAAGCGCAAGUGAUCUGAGCCUAUCCUUACUUGGGCUCUGAAAUACGUGAGUUGGCACUUCUCAAGAUUACUAUAUAAAUUUUAUAUGGUUAUACAGAUUUACACUAUUAUUUUGUAUAUGUUUUUCUCUCUAUUGUGUAUGUGCUGAAAUUGAAAGUGAUCUUUACAACAUUAGGACCAGAUGACCCCAUAAGUUGGGUAGGUGCCCGCUAUAAUCACUUUAUGCUCCACUCAUACAGGUGAACAACAUCAAUUUAUAUACCACAAACAUCGUUUUGCAAGUGAUGGUUUGUCUGAUAUCGUAUACUUUAUUGGUGUGUGGGUGGCUAAAUUUUUUAGCUGGUAUCAUGUGUCCACAAGUCACGCACCCCAGACACCGAAUGCACCCCCGUAUAUUUUGUUUCAUAUCUUUCGAAUAACUUGCAACUGGAUCCGUGUGCACCAGCAGGUCCCUCAGGCUCUUGUUCCUUCUGUAACAUAUCAGCGGGGGUUCUUUAAAAACCUUUGGCAACGUGUCAUCCGUCACAAGCAUCUUCCAAUUGUCCUUAAUCACUGCUGAUACCAAAUUAGAAUUGUGGAAAGUCAUAGGGAACAUUAUCCUCUGUGUAGGGUCCAGCCUAGAUUGUACUGGGGCUGCCUUAGCCUUUAACAGUGCAUCUUCCAACAUUCGGGUUUCAUAUCCUCGUUCCACAAAUUUAUGUGUCAUGGUCUUCAACUGUGUCUCCACUUUAUCCUGGUUUGAAUUGUUGCGAAUUACUCUUUGAAACUGUGCCUUUGGAAUAGAAUUUUUCAACAUAAUAGGAUGUGCACUAUGUGCAUGCAACAAAGUAUUGCGGUCCGUGGGUUUCGUGUAUAAUGUAUACUGUAUCUUAUUAAAUUCAUAAGACAAUUCAAGGUCCACGUUUGAUCCACAGACCACCAAACCAUCGAUCAAGACUUUUUUAAACACCACAUCUAAGAUGGCACAACACAUCUUUUCACAAUGUAGACAAGUACCACAGAAUAUUACUUAUUACUAAAGAUGAAAGAUGUCUCCUUGAUAAUUUGGCUAAGGAUCCCACGAUAGUCAUUCGUUCAGCAGAUAAGGGGGGUGGCAUAGUUCUUUUAAAUUAUACAGACUAUGCCGAUGACCUCAAUCAACAGCUUGCGGAGACCAAUACGUAUCGCCCUUUAUCUGGUGACCCUACGGUUGAGAUACAAAGGCAAAUAUCUGAUGUACUUAGAAUGGGCCUCAGGUCAGGUUACAUUGAUUUAGACCUGUAUCGUUUUUUAGAGAAACAACAUCCUCGUACUCCCAUAAUUUAUAGUAUCCCUAAGAUACACAAGGAUACGCAGAGACCUCCCGGCCGUCCUAUUGUUUCGGCCACUGACUGAAUACUGGAGCCUAUAGCCCGAUGGCUAGAUUUUCUUUUCAAGGAGCCAGUGGAGGCGUUAAAUACAUGUAUUAAGGAUACACAGACCCUCUUGCAUAGGAUUAACAAUUUGGAUCUCCACAAUAUUGGGUCUGUGUAUCCUUAAUACAUGUAUUUAACGCCUCCACUGGCUCCUUGAAAAGAAAAUCUAGCCAUUGGGCUAUAGGUUCCAGUAUUCCGUCAAUGGCCGAAACAAUAGGACAGCCAGGAGGUCUUUGCGUAUCCUUGUCCCUGUGGUUCCAUUGGUGAUGGCAGUAGUGCACCUGGGUGAGUUUUAAUUUUGAUUAUAUGGGUAUAUAUUUGUAACUUGUAUCUAUGGUAAUUGUUGAUCUGUUUUUCCUGACCCUGAGGAAAGUCCCGAGUGGGGACUGAAACGUUGGUCAUUGUUUUUACUUUGAUUCAAUAAACUUUUUUCUAAGACCGGAGAGCAGCCAUUGCUAUUUUUAGAUUUGUGUUACAUGGAGCCCUGAUGUUUGCUCCCGGCGGUGAGGUAUUUUGGACGUGAGUGCAGGGGAUUUUUGUAAUUAUAUAUAUAUAUAUAUAUAUAUAUAUAUAUAUAUAUACACACACACACACACACACACACACACACACACACAUAUCUCCUCUUACAGCCAACAGGACAGGAAAAACACCCAGGUUUUAAAAGGAGGCUCCAUCCCUAAGGUCCUCAGUCAGUUUACAAGCUCUACAGUACAUAAAUAGAGACAUUAAUGGGUGGGUAGUAUAUGCUGCCAUGAAUAAUAGCCAGGAAAAGAAAAUUACGGUAAGUAUGAAUACAUUUUCCACUUUCCUGGCUAAUCAUGGCAGCAUAUACACAUGGGGAAUACCCAAGCUUACAAAAGGAGGGACAGAAAUGUAAAUAAUAGCCAAUCAAAUAUUCAGAAUAAUUCAACAUAGAUAGAAGAAUGACCUGAGUUAAGUACUUGAGUACCAAAUUGUGCAUCAUAGACUGCUUUAACGAAAAGGUAUGAAAUGCCAGACAAACGUGUCCAAAGAGGUUUAAAUGCUAGCUUACAAAAAAGUGUCAGCAGAAAACAUUGCCAGGGAAACCCACGAUGCUGCAACAGCAUGAGAGGAGAGUGCCCUGAUACCCUCCAGCACAGGUAGAGAAUGGACGUGACGUUCAAAUUGUGCCUCAUUAAGUGCUUCAUUGUCCAAUAUGUAAUGCAAGACGAACUAGUUCAAAGAGGUCCAAAUGCCAACUUUACAAAGUUUCAGCAGAGACCACUGCCAUGGAAGCCCACGAGAUGCUGCAACAGCACUAGUGGAGAAUGCCCCGAAAUCCUUUGGUACAGGUAGAGAAUGGCAUUGAAAGGCUCUCACUUUAGGCAGGAUCUCUGGUGCUUCAUGCAAGACAACCAUAUCCUGUUGAAGUUCAGUGAAUGGGGGUAUACAGGAUCAAGCCUGAAGUUCACACAUUCACCCUGCUCAGGUAACAGCCACCAGCAACAGCAAUGUCUGUGCUAACCUCAUGGAAGCUCCUGCUAGAGGUUCAAAUGAUGGUUUAGUCAUAGCCCGUGAAACCAGUGGUACGUCACAUAUUGGUUUCAACACCCUCAGUUGAAGCUUGAGUUCAAUUGUUGCUUACAUGAAGCAAAGCAUCAGGGGUAUCAACGCUCAAUGGGUACCCUUCAGUACAGGUAGAGAAUGACAUAGAUAAGCAUUCACCUUAGGCAGUAUCUUCAGGUGUCAAAUGCAAGACAACCAUAUAUGUUGAAAAGUAGUGAAAGGGGGUUCACAGGAUUAAGCCUGGAGUUCACCCAUUCUCCUUACUAGGGUACCAGCCACCAGCACUUUCUGUGCUACCACCAUGGAAGCUCCUUCUAGAGGUUUGAAUAAUGGUUUAGUCAGGGCCCGUGAGACCAGUGGUACGUCACAUAUUGGCUUCACCACACUCAGUUGAGGCAUGAUUUCAAUCAAUGCCUAUAUGAAGCAAAGUGCAGGUUAGUGCUCCUCUCGAGUGUUAUAACACAGAACCUUUCAGGGCCUGAAUGAGGAGUAAUUCCAACAGACAAAAGCAUGUCAAGCUUUGUAAAGUAUGUAUAGGAUUGUAAGAGGAUCUCAAUGACCGUCACAGGGAUGUAUAUAUUAAUAUGGACUCCUGCAUCAACACCAGAACUUGAGGAUCCUGGUGUGUCAAGGAUCUGUAAUAGGUCUGGAUGUACUGUAAUUUCCCUUUGAGGUUCCAGAAUCAUCUUAUUCAUCAUAGGGAUUAGAGUCUACACUGCCUUCCACUGUUACCUUUUGCAUUACCUUUUAAAGAAAGUCGAAAACAGGAAAAUAUGUACAACAGACUAAAAUUCUAAAUUUGAGUCAGUGUAUCCAGAACCUGAGCAUUCUGGUCCUAGCAUGUAGAAAUUACUUCUGGACCUGGUAGUUCCAAGAAAUGGCCAUGAGAUGUGUAGAGUAUCAGACAAAUCUGCGUCAACACCAAGGAUACGUCGGGACAUGGUUGCCAAUUCACCUUGUCCACAGUUAUUCGGCUCAAGCAAACAGCCAUUGUAUUCUGAGCCCUUGGUUGUUCUUCUGUGCCCUGAUCAUUAUGGGCUGGAAUUCCAUCAAUACGUAUCUUUGAGACCCAUCUUGAUAGAUAUAGGAUACAGUUGCAUUGAUAUUUGAGCAAAUUUGAACCCACUCGUUCCUCAGCAAGCCUCUGAAGUGAAGAAAAUGACUUGUAAUUCCAUCCAAAUUAAUGGAAAUAUUGAGCAACAUGGUCCAAACACUGUGCAACCAAUCUUAUAAAAACUGGAAUUCAAGCUAAUAAUUGACCAAUGAGGUUCAGUUCACUGGAAACUCAGAGAUCUAUUUUCUCUUUUCAGCUACCAGGUAAGGUGUAACUCCACUGAUGAGGACAUAGUCAGUGGCUGCUCCAAUAAUCUUUCUCUUGUUGAACCAAGAUAGGAAGGAUCUGUGAGGAUGCCAUUGGGCCCAUGUGACAAGUCUGCCGGUGGUAAAGUAUUAAGUAAAAAGUGCACUGUUAAAUUCUAUAAGAAACAAGUGAAACACAUUUAAAACUGGCUGAAGACAGCACUUAUCCAUGUCUGGAGACCUUGCAAAUACUUACCAAAUAAGUUUGGGGUGUUUACUGUAAUUUUCCCUUUAUUUUAGUUACUGGCAAUUGCCCUUAUCCAAGAUGGCUGCCACAACUUGUAUUCCCACAAUGCAACUCAUCUGUAUUUGGGGCAUUAAGGCACAAACUGCACAUGUUUGGGCCUAUUCCGAGUGUGUUUGCUGUUUAGAGACCAGGGAGAGAACUCUGUCUGAAGCCUACAUGGCCCCUAAACACCCAGGGAACCGGGAAUAAAUCACUGGGACCGAGGGGAAGCAAAAUAGAUAACAAAAGUGCCUGCAAGGAAGUUAAAAAGGCAACCAAGUGCAAAAAGUCAAAAUUUAAAGGCACCACAGUCUAAAGGCCUCAUGGUAUAAAAGGUAACACAGUUUUCAAAUGCACUGCUGUUUUCCAAAUGUACUGUAGUUUCAAAUUUAAAUUAAACAGUUUUAAAUGCCACACAGCUUAAAUGCUUCCUAGUAAAAAGCACAACUGCAUAAUGUACCACAAUUUUAAAAAUAAGGUACAGCUGUAUACUGCACUAGUUUAAAGAUAUCAAAGCUUAAAUUGAUCACAGCAUAAAAGCACAACUGCAUAGUGUAUUACAGUAAAACAGGCAAAUAAAGUAAUGAACAUAAAAAGAAAACAUACAUGUCCGUAGUAAAGGGCGCAAAUUGCUCACGUCCUAAGGGCUGUAGGACAGGAAAAGGACCUUAGGGAUGGAGCCUACUUUUAAAACCUUGGUGUUUUUCCUGUUCUAUCGGCUGUAAGGGGAGGUGCUAACCCAUGUGUAUAUGCUGCCAUGAUAAGCCAUUAAAAAAAUAAAUAAAUAUAUAUAUAUAUAUAUAUAUACACACAUACAUACACCCACCCCACCCAGAAUGGGCCAUAGUUCAGUUUUUGGUACUAGAGGCUGUCCAUACCGCUCUGUGUAUAUUUGGUUCUCUUUUAUUGUAUCCCUCCAUUGCAACACUGCGUUCCUGUGAUAUUUUGUUUCGUUGUUCGGUACUAAUAACAGUUAUAUUGGAUUACACUAUAUGGUUCGACAAACAAACAAAGUACCGAACAACUAGGCCACCCAGGAGGGGAGUGUGGCACCAACUGACCCUAUCAACCUUCUGCAUAUCUUGUUAACCGCAAAUGCCCGAACCCCUGUGUAAUCUUCAGGGUGGCUGUUGUUCGUAUAGACCUAUCGUAUUAACCUGAAACUUGUGUCUGGAAUGAAUUACUUUUGGGAGCGUGCACGCAUUUAAUUCAGUUUGGACAGGGGCAGAUAUACAAAAUUAUCAAACACUUGAUUUGAUCCUUAAUACCAUCUCACAUGUCAAAUUAACUGACUCCCUUUUUGGUUUGUUAUUUUUAUGAUUGAUGUGUGUUGCUAAUAUUUCAAUACCAUUGCAGAAACAUAUAUGUUGUGAUGUCUAAUUUAGUGUGCAUUGCUCUAAAUAGGUUACUGGAAUGUAUUGAUCUAUUCAUAAUCCAUAUAAGUUUAAGUUUUGUUUUUACUAUCAUAAUUUAACUUCAUGGAUUUAGGUGUGUUUUAGUAGUGUGUGUGUGUGUGUGUGUGUGUGUCAGCAUUUCAUCCUUGAAAGAGUCGUAGCAUAGCCUUGAAGCUUGUUUAUGCAUUAUUGUUAUUGUAGUUCGUAUGGGACAAAAUUGUGUAAACAUAUUAUGCACUGAAAGUAAGAAGUUAUUGCUUAAAGAAACAUGUAUGAAAAACAUUAUGUUCCAUUUCUAACACCCUGUCAGUUUGCAAUAUCUCAAAGUAUCUCAAAGUACACAGUUUGAGGAAUACAAUAUUUCAUUCUAAAACUUGUAAUAUUUGCAUUUGCCCAUAACAUUGUCAUUCACCAUAAAGUUUAUGCAAAUUAAGAAAUUGUCCUGUUAUAUGUACUUUAAAAAUCCCAAUAUUGUACAGUCCACACCUUAAAUUUAGUGGCCCCUUCUGAAUCUUCCAGCACUUCAGAGGUUACAAUUCAAAUAGUAAUCUAGGGAGAUGAGAACUAAAAUGGUGUGAUAACGUUAGGGGAGAAGCCUCCACCAUAUGCACCCUAUGGGGGUCUUUUACCUUGUUAGAAUGCACUUCUAUUUGAUCUUUGUUAGAUGCCAAUUAAUAUCUGAGAGACGGAAUAUAUAACAGUGUAACACUGUAUAUGUGUGAGUUAGCAGUACUCUCCCUAUAUAUCCUGCUCACCUGAUUCAGGCACCUGUACUGGCCCCACAGUGUAUCUCGCGGUAUAAGCAGUAAGGGGAUUUUCAGUAGUAUUCCAAACUUUAUUUCCAAGACAAAAAAAAAAACAGUAAAAUCUAUAUAGCUUUAUCUAGCUGUCUCACAGUUCGUGGGGUAGUUGUGAUCGUUUUUACAGGUCCACCUUCCACCGAUGUUGCUGAUCGAUGUGCUUCCACGUGACUUUGUAAAUCUCUUUUUAUUUAGAUUUUCAUAAACAAGAGUACAAGGAAGCAGGACAGUUGUACUAAUGGGACUCACAGGUCCCUAGUAGUGAGUAGAGCCAGAGAGAUAAACAAUAAAAAGUAAAUAUAUAAUGAACAAAAGAAAACCACGUAUGUAGAACACAUGUAGUAAGAGUGGAUGUGAUGUGUUUAAGUGCCUUUAUGUUCCUAGGCUAGUUGUAGCUCUCAGGUUUCCCAACCAUGGAGAAGUCACCUAUCGUCCUGUCGACCAUGGUCUCUUCUGUGAUCUGACAGGGGACGUGUCGUUCUGCCUCCUGUUCAACCGUGAUUGUAUCACGGUUUUUCCCCGCACCCUGACAGAAGAGCUUUACCAUGCUCUAUAGUAUACGGCUCUAAUCCCUAAUCUCUAGGUGAAAAGCAUGGGUCUUCGACAGUCGAAGGGGUAUGCAUCCGUGUAACUUCCAUGUGACUUAUGCUUUUCGCCCUGGGUGGGCUUUCUCAAAGUCUGUGGGUGCCGAGUGCCGAUCUCUCUUAAAUAUUCUCAUGGUAACACACAAUUGGCAGUGUUACAGCUGUACAUAAUUCACAAUGUCUUUAAUCCUACAGAUUCUUCCCAUCUAAUUCAGCAACCAGUUAUUCCUUUAAAAAAAAAAACAUAAAUACAAAGAAUAUACCUUCAUCAUGUCAUACAUAAUAUAAUAGUUAUAGCAGCAAUUUCCAUUUAAAGUGAUUUGUCACUUCAAAAUUGGAAUAUUAUUCAAACACCAACAAAAUGUAUUGUUACAAAUAUGGGUAUUAUAUAACAAAUAAUAUUAUGACUAGUGCAAGGACACCAUAAAAUAAUAUAUUGGGUAACAGACUUGUGCUAGAAAAUUAUUUGAGUGUAAAUAGUUUAGUAAAGUUUUACAUUUUCUUCUCCCACUAUUUGCUAUGCAUGUAUAUAAAUGGAGAAAUGUGCAAAUGUCACCUGGAGAACAGUACUGCUUUACAUUUUCUUUCCUGUGUGCUGCUAAGUAUUGAAAUGAUCACUAAGUAAUAAUAUGUACUGAAAUGUACCCAGACACCCCUAUUACAUUUAUUGUUUGCAAUGCUGUAUAGUAAGUACUGCAAUCUCAUGCACUUUGUGUGAAAAUGUUGAAGAAGUGAAUUUAUCAGAAACAGCAUAAUGGCAGAUAAGGUAAGUAUAUUACAAAACAUAUUUUUAUUCCAGACCAAAGCAAUACUAAACACUAACCAUGUGUAUACACAAGAUUGAAAAGGCAAGAGUAAUUAGUGGUGUAAGCUAGGUGCUCCCCAGUCUGGGUGACCAACAAGGUGACCAACAGGAGGGGUGCAUACAGUACGUCCGCUAUUGCUAGUCUCUUCUCUCCAUGUAUAGUCCUAGAUGAUCUUAUGUAUCCUCUACCUGAUCUGACAGAAAGCUGUUCACUGAGAUACAGAAGAUCCUCUACCGAGGUCUGCGAAACCAUUCUACAAAAGAGAGGUGAUCAGGCACAGGAGGGUAGAGAUGAGAAAAGAUAACAAAGGGACAAGGGGAGUGGAAGAGACCACAAAGGGAUAGAGGAGUGGAAGAAAUACACAAAAGGGAGUGGGAAAGAGACACACAAGAGGGACUACAGAAGUGGAGACAGACACACAGAGAGUCUGGGAAGAGACAAAUAAGAGGGAACGUGGAAGGGGAGAAAGAGACACAUAACAUCUGGGGGGAUGAGAAAGAGAUACAAGGAGGGGCUGAAGAAGGGGGGAAAGAGACACACAGAGGAGCUCGGGAAGGGGAAAACAGAAACAGAGAGAGGCUAGGGGCAGGGACAAGGUGCCGGGGAGUGAAGAUCAACACAAAGGAGCUGUGAGUGAGAGGCAUGGAUGAAGAGAGGAAGAGACACACAAAAGGGGGUUAAGAUACACACAAGGUAGGUUGUAAAAGGCACACAUGAGUAAUGUAAAACACAAAGGGGAAACAAGGGGGGUAAAAUACACUUCAGGGAGGGUGAAAGACACAAACGGAAGAUAAGAUUUACUAAAGGGAGCAGACACAAAUGGGAAGAUGCAUUUUCUUGGGGGGAGGCAUAUUUGCCAGUGUUGCCAAAAAACUCCUUGCACUGGCCCUGGGUGUAUGAAAUAAUAAGAAUUUAGUAUGUUUGGGGGUGGCAUCAGACCCCCAGGCUAACGGGUUGCAAUUGUAGAUUAUACUAGCUUUAGUGUAACUAUAAUCUUAAUUUUAUUAAUGACGGGAGGCAAAUAUUUGCUUAAGUCUCUCUUUACUAGAACUCCACAAUAGCACAUUAACACAGAGAAAAGCAACCAAUCAGAAAAAAGUAAUGAAACCAUAAAAGGCCUUUGCAUGUUAUCAAUGUCUCAGUCCAACUACCUUUACAUAUUAAGGAAAGCUUGGUAAUGGGACUGAAAUGGUGAAUGUAUGUAGGGCACAACUGUAAAAAAUGUCGUUAUCUUCUUUAUUUUGAAGUCCUGUGGGUGUGCUCUUCACUUUAAUCCCUUAAGGACACGACAUGUGUGACAUGUCAUGAUUCCCUUUUAUUUCAGAAGUUUGGUCCUUAAGGGGUUAAAUAUGUUAUUGUGCUGGAGUAAACACCUAGCAACAAGACUGGGCCAAUAUCUGCUCAUUACAUAUGGUACAUAUUAAUGACAUUUCUCUGUGUAUUAUGCAUAUAUAAAUGUACAUUAAUAUAUGUGUAAAUAUACCGUAUUUUUCGCUCCAUAAGACGCACCUCACCAUAAGACGCACCUAGUUUUUAGAGGAGGAAACCCAGAAAAAAAAAUAUUCUGAACAAACUGUUCCAUAGUGUUUCUUACCAUGGGACAGUUUGUUCAGAAUAUUUUUUUUUCUCCCCUGUCCCAUAAUGAUCUUUAACCCCCCUUUCCUCUGUCCCAUAGUGAUUGUUAACCCCUCCUACCCUGUCCCAUAGUGAUUGUUAACCCCUCCUACCCUGUCCCAUAGUGAUUGUUAACCCCUCCUACCCUGUCCCAUAGUGUUCUUUAACCCCUCCUCCCCUUGUCCAUUAGUGUUCUGAUCCCAUAGUGUCCCCCCCUCCCAUUGUCCCAUAGUGCACUUUCCCUCCCAUAGUGUCCCCCCCUGCCCUUGUCCCAUAGUGUCUCCCCCUCCCCUUGUCCCAUAGUGUCCCCCCUCCCCUUGUCCCAUAGUGUCCCCCCCUCCCCUUGUCCCAUAGUGUCUCCCCUCCCUUUCUCCCAUAGUGUCCCC